rnacentral:rRNA from 1 species
UACGUAGGGGGCAAGCGUUGUCCGGAAUCAUUGGGCGUAAAGAGCGUGUAGGCGGCCCGGUAAGUCCGCUGUGAAAGUCGGGGGCUCAACCCUCGAAUGCCGGUGGAUACUGUCGGGCUAGAGUGCGGGAGAGGCGAGUGGAAUUCCUGGUGUAGCGGUGAAAUGCGCAGAUAUCAGGAGGAACACCGGUGGCGAAGGCGGUUCUCUGGGCAUUACCUGACGCUGAGGAGCGAAAGCGUGGGGAGCAAACAGG